rnacentral:lncRNA from 1 species
GUUUUGCCAUGUUGGCCAGGCUGGUCUCAAACUCCUGGGCUCAAGCAAUCCGCCUGCCUCGGCCUCCCAAAGUGCUGGGAUCACAUAUAUGAGCCAAUGUGGCCAGGGUUACAUGUUCUACUUUGCCAUAUCCUACAGGUAUUACAAGCAAAUCUUCUCCCUACAAAAUGAGAUUAGACUGAUUAGACUAGAUCUUUAAGGCAACUUCUGGUUCUAAUUUCAUACGGUUUUACAAAGACAGUAAUUUUAAGUAGGUUUUAAAAAUUCAACUCUUAGGCCCAGGUGUAUGGCUCACACCUGUAAUCCCAGCACUCUGGGAGGCUGAGAGAGGAUUGCUUGAGUCCAGGAGGUCAAGGCUGCGGUGAGCUGUGAUCACACCACUGCACUCCAGCCUGGGUGACAGAGCAAGACCCUGUCCAAAGAAAUUUCAGUCUUCAAACCAGAUGCAAUCAUUCUGAUCCUAAUAUAAAACUUUUAACCCGUAAACCAAAAUACAAGCUAAAAGUGUCUCCCUCUCUUGAGGGGGAGCUGGGAAGAACCAAUUCAGGUGUCUUGGGUUUCCAGGACUAGGGUUUUUCCACUACUAGGGUAGCAAACAGGGAUGUUUCUUACCAGAGCCUCAUUCUAGAGGGAACAUAACAAAGUGAGCCAGAGAAAGUCUUGUGCAAAGAGGCAUUGCAAAACCAGCAAUCUGGAUAAAGAUAGAAAUAAACUUCCUGUAAUCCCAGAUGCUCAGGAGGCCGAGGCAGGAGAAUCGUUUGAACCCGGGAGGUGGAGGUUACAGUGAGCCAAGAUCAUGCCACUGCACUCCAUCCUGGGGGACAGAGGGAGACUCCAUCUCAAAAAGCAAACAAAACAAAACUGAGGCUGCCUAGAUGAGGUCAAUAAAAAAGUGUCUGUACAGUAGUUCUCCCUUAUCUGAGAUUUGGCUUUCCAUGGUUUCAGUUACCCAUGGUCAGCUGCAGUCUGAAAACAGAUGAGUACAGUAUCAUAUUUUCAGAGAGAAAGAGAGACCACAUUCACAUAACUUUUAUUACAGUAUGUUGUUAUAACUGUUCUAUUAUUUAUUAGCUGUUGGUAUCAGUCUAUCUUAUAAAUUACAUUGUAUUAGGCCGGGUGCAGUGGUUCAUGCGUGUAAUCCCAGCACUUUGAGAGGCCGCGGCAGGCGGAUCACGAAGUCAAGAGAUCAAGACCAUCCUGGCCAACAUGGUGAAACCCCAUCUCAACUAAAAAUACAAAAAUUAGCCAAGCGUGGUGGCACGUGCCUGUGUUCCCAGCUACGUGGGAGACUAAGGCAGGAGAACCGCUUGAACCUGGGAGAUGUAGGUUGCAGUGAGCCGAGAUCGCGUGACUGCACUCCAGCCUGGAGACAGAGCAAGACACUGUCUGGGAAAAAAAAAAAAAAAAAAGUAUUACAGGGCUGGAUGCGGUGGCUGACACCUAUAAUCCCAGAACUUUGGGAGGCUGAGGCUGGCAGAUCACUUAAGCCCAGGAGUUCGAGACCAGCCUUGGCACCAUGGCGAAAUCUCAUUUUUACUAAAAAUACAAAAAAUUAGCCAGGCAUGGUGGUGUGUGCCUGUAAUUUCAGCUCCUCAGGCGGCUGACGUGGAUCAUCUGAGCUGGGAAGUCAAGGCCACAGUGAGCUGUGAAUAGGCCACUGCACUCCGGCCUGGGCCUGGAUGAUGGGUGUGAGACCCUGUCUCAUUAAAAAAAAAAAAAAAAAAAUUGUAGGUAAUUUAGAGAUGAUUUAAAGUAUAUGGGAGGAUGUGCAUAGGUAAUAUCCACAUACUAUGUCAUUUUCAUAUCAGGGACUUGAGAAUCUGCAGAUUUUAGUAUCAAAGGGAAGUCCUGGAACCAGUCUUCAGAUAACAAGGGACAAAUCUAGUUCUUCCUGGGGACUGUAGCCGGGAGUAGAGCAGAAAACAAUUUCUUUCGUUUAAUCCACAUUAGAUUUUUAUUUAUAUUUAUUUUGAGACAAGAGUCUCACUCUGUCACCCAGGCUAGAGUGCAGUGGAGCGAUCUGGGCUCAAAGAGAUUCUCCCACUUCAGCCUCUGCACUAGCUGGGACCAGGUACGCACCACCAUGCCCGGCUAAUUUUUGUAUUUUUUUAGUAAAGAUGGGGUUUCACCAUGUUGGUCAGGCUGGUCUUGGACUCCUGACCUCAAGUCAUCCACCUGCCUCGGCCUCCCAAAGUGCUGGGAUUACAGGAAUGAGCCACCACGCCUGGCCUUAGAUUUUUAAAAGUAACAUGCAACACUUUAAACAUAAAGAAAACGUACUUUUAAGAAAAGGAACAGUAUGGACUUUGUACAAAUUUCCAGAAAGCAGGUAAAAGAUUAUAUACUCUUGGUAAUUAUGAACUACUGGAGUUAAAUAUUUUACCUUUUUGUCUCACCACUAUUUACUGAGAAACUGAGGACUAAAGUAUGCUUUGCCAACACCCUGACAGCUAUCAGACAUAGCUUUCUUUGAUUUGAGGAUGGCAUCACAGAGAUAUACUUACUCAAUGUAACAAACACUUACUGCCUACUAGGUGCCAAGCACUAUGAAUCAUAGGUAAAAUAACCUCUUUCAAACCCCACAGUAAUAAACUUAGUCACCUAUUAUGACUAUAUUCAAGAUAGGUCCCUCCCCAUCCAAAAAUGUUCAUUGAUUGUUCUGAAAUUUUACUUUUGUGAUCUCAGUCCCUUGGGAUACUGCAUUUCCCAAAAGCCCAUCUAGGAACUGAAAUAUUGAUGCCAAACACUAAUUUAUAUAAUUAUAUACACCGACAACCUGCAGCUCGAUCACAAUAGCCAAUUACUGGUUCAACUGCACCAGUCUAUUCAGUGGCUUGUUCCCCAACAUCAUACUCCAUCAUCUACCUCUUGUCCAUCAUCAAACCUUCCUCUCUGGGAUUAUCUUGCUUUCCUCCUGUUGAUAUAAAUUUCUGCAAACAUCAGCUUUCAUCAAAAAAAAUCCCACACUGGUGAUCUACAAGAAAAACUGUCCUGCAGGUGUGAUUAGCACAGUGUUUAAAUUCUCUUUAAAUAACUAUGAGAUCUAACUUCUCUAGAAAAAAACUGAAAGCUGGCCACUGUGGCCAGGCAAUGCACCCAGCAUGAGCCUCAUUUGUAAGGGUCACGAGUUCCCCACUCCCCAAUUGGCUUGUUUCACUCAUUUCUAUAACCUAUCUGGUUCUCGUAGGUGUUUCAGUUUGCAAUCACUGGUCUAGCCUACCUCUAUUCCAAACUAAAGCUAUUCUUUCGCCAUUAAUAAAACGAGAACCUUUUAUUCUAGCAGACAUGCCGCAGGAAAAGUUACUUUUCAAAAAUCCUUCUAAUCUUAAACAAAUACAGAUUUCAUUGUUUUGUUUUAACAGCUCUGUCCAAGAGACCUUUGCUAUUGUCAGAGGUUAUUCUUUAGCCAAUCACAAGUAUCUGUUCUAAAGAUCCUGCUCAAAAGGACAGCAUGACUGAGUCAGGUUUAAACUGCACAAUAUUCAAAUAAAGGCACAUCUCUCUAAACCUUUAGUCUGUUUUGAUGAAAUAAAUUAACCCUGCCAGGCAUGGCAGUUAAUGUUGUUUUUAUGCCAAGAAUCCCAAGACACCCCAACUCCUAGAGAAAAUGUAUAUGCCUAAUGUGGUAUUCAAGGAACUUUACACUUUAGACUCCAAUGACCUCAUUCUUUAGAACUUUCCUUCAUAAGCCUCAUACUGUUGGGUUUUCCCAUCUCUUUUCUAACACGUUUUUUUCCAAUUUGCCCAAAUCCUAACAAUCCAAGACCUACUUCAAAUGCCACCAUCCUGAGAUCACAUAGAUGGAAUUUGCUUUCUCCAAAUUUUACGUCCUUUGAGGGCAUUUUCACUUUGUUACUGAUGUAUCCUUCUUAGACUCUUGAAGAAACUUAUUUUUUGCCUCUCAAUGUCUUACUCGAUCUCCAACAAACAUUUCCUAAAUAAGUCUUACAGAUUAGGUGGAGCCUAAACAGCGUCCAAACAAAUAAAUAACAAAAACAAAAAAAAACAAAAAAUCCCCCAAACCAACCCACUGUAUUUCCAAUGUUUCCUUUUUGAGUUGGGGGUCUCACUGUUGCCCGGGCACCAGCGAGUGCAGUGGCACCAUCAUGGUUCACUGCAGCCUUGAACUCAUGGCCUGACGCAAUCCUCCCAACUCAGCCUCAGUUGCUGAGUUUACAGGCAUAAGUCACUGUACCCAGCAUCAAUAUUUUGCUUUUUGCCUUUUCCUGUGUUUCACACAUUCAAGGUUAGCAUCUUCUAACUUCUCCCAUGACUAUUCAGUAAGUCAUUACAUCAGUUACUCUUGAGAUGUUUGGGGCCAGGUUCUUCUUGCCUUCUAACUGAUCCUCAUACUGCCCACCAACCCACCCUGCCCCACUGCCAACCAACUUAGGAUAAUCUGUUAAUCAUAAACCAUGUAUUACUCACCAGCUCCAAGUUCUUCAAAAGAUUUCCAUUAGAAUGACAUUCAAACCAUGGUCCAUUGUGAGACUUGGCCUCUCUCUCUCUCCCAUCUCCACUCACCUUACAUGCACACGCACCCAUCCCACCCACCAUUCAAACCUCAUUUUUUGUUCAAGAUGUUAUGUUUCCCAUCUCAUGGUUUCUGCACACCUACUACCCAAAACACUGUUACUCAAUGAGACUUUGUGCAAAGGCUGGCUUCUUAAAUCCUCAGUUCCAAAGUCUCUACUCAGAUGCACUUCCUCUCUACUAUGUACAAAGGAUAAUAUCAAAGCACACUGUGGGCAUUCAUAUAUAUGUGCUAAAUGAAAUUUUUUGAUUUGCAAUAACUGUCUGCUCCCACCAUUGCCUGUGGUCUAACAAGGUUAGCACAAAUGUAUAGUGUGUUAGUUCUUUCAAGUAAACAUACAGAAAAUACUGAGCACUUACAAAGUUGCCAGGCCAAAUUCUUCUACACAUAUUUACUUGUUUCUCACAAACCUAUGAAACUUAUAACUACCAUUUGAAAAGUAAUUUGUUCCAGGUCAUAUAACUAAUAAAUAAUAGAAAAGCAAGGAUUUGGUUGCAAGAUCUAGUUUUAUGCUCACUCUAAAUCACUGUUUCUUCUGGCUCAUCUACCUACCCAACUAUCACAUACAAAAUAUGCACACUAAGCGUGCUCUUUUACCCCUUUUCCCCGUAGACAUUCUGUAUUUAAUAAUUAUUCCUUACAGUUCCCAGGAUACAACAAAAACUGCUCAGGACAACUGAUGCAUAUCAUAAUACCUUAUUAAUAUAUAACUGUUCUGGAUACAAAUUUAAAAAAUGGGCUCAGACAAGUAUCAUAAAUAAUAAAUGAAAGAUUUUAUUCAUCUUUGUAGAUAACAAGCACUCAAAGGUUAAUGAGUGAAG